rnacentral:lncRNA from 1 species
CUAAAUUCAAAUCUGCUUCCCAAACUCUGUGGAGGGUUCUACAAUGUGGAAGCAUUCCAGUUCCCUCAGGCACAAGGGAGGAAACAGAUCCAGAGAUGUCAUGGACUUGCCCAAGGGUGGAUCCUUAGGGUGUUGACUGCUGCAGUUUCAAGCUUACAUCUGCACCCUGCAGAAUCCAGAGGAAGAGACAAUGCCUGUUCCAGUGGCUCUCAAGAAAUUCUUUUCCAGCCAGGCAUGGUGGCUCAUGCCUGUAAUCCCAGCACUUUGGUAGGCUAAGUACUGGACUGGUUCUGAUGCUUUCACCAGUAACAGAAGCUCAAGCUGUGCUCAACUGACCCCCAAGGAUCCAGCCUGUCUCUGGGAUUCUCUAGGCCGUCCCGGAACUCCUACCAUGACCAGGGAAGUGUAGGGUUGGGGUUUGGCCCUAGACCUCUUAUCUGUCCACCUGCAAAGCCGUUUUAGUAACAGAUUUGGAAGCAAAGUAAGGUUUUUGAUGGCAGCUUGGUCACCAGCACUUCACUUAGGAACCAGUGCUGGGGAAGCGGAUGGGACAAUUUCUGAGUGUCUCCUGGGACAGACACAUAGGCCAUCGCUCCGCUAGGGGCAUGGAGGGUAUGUGUGGGUCAAAUUGCUAAAUAAUCUCCAAAGCUCAUUACAAUUAAUGGGCCGACCUAUUCCCCAAUGCCUGCUUUACUGGAAUUGUUCGGCCCCAUCCUUCCCCCACAGUAGAGUGAGCCAAUUUAAAUUUUCAAUGCAGUUCUUCAGCACUUGUGUGAUGAUAAUCAGCUUACAGGUCAAGGACCUUGGCAAUUCACCAAGGAGAUUGUUACAUUUGAGCA